AGUGAACGCUGGCGGUAGGCCUAACACAUGCAAGUCGAACGGCAGCACAGUAAGAGCUUGCUCUUACGGGUGGCGAGUGGCGGACGGGUGAGGAAUACAUCGGAAUCUACUUUUUCGUGGGGGAUAACGUAGGGAAACUUACGCUAAUACCGCAUACGACCUACGGGUGAAAGCAGGGGAUCUUCGGACCUUGCGCGAAUGAAUGAGCCGAUGUCGGAUUGGCUAGUUGGCGGGGUAAAGGCCCACCAAGGCGACGAUCCGUAGCUGGUCUGAGAGGAGGAUCGGCCACACUGGAACUUGGACACGGUCCAGGCGACUACGGGAGGCAGCAGUGGGGAAUAUUGGACAAUGGGCGCAAGCCUGAUCCAGCCAUACCGCGUGGGUGAAGAAGGCCUUCGGGUUGUAAAGCCCUUUUGUGGGGAAAGAAAAGCAUCAGGUUGAUACCCCGCUGUUCUGACGGUACCCAAAGAAUAAGCACCGGCUAACUUCGUG
rnacentral:rRNA from 1 species